CAUGCUAGUUGCACGAGUUCAUACUCGUGGCGAAAAGCUCAGUAACACGUGGCCAAACUACCCUACAGAGAACGAUAACCUCGGGAAACUGAGGCUAAUAGUUCAUACGGGAGUCAUGCUGGAAUGCCGACUCCCCGAAACGCUCAGGCGCUGUAGGAUGUGGCUGCGGCCGAUUAGGUAGACGGUGGGGUAACGGCCCACCGUGCCGAUAAUCGGUACGGGUUGUGAGAGCAAGAGCCCGGAGACGGAAUCUGAGACAAGAUUCCGGGCCCUACGGGGCGCAGCAGGCGCGAAACCUUUACACUGCACGCAAGUGCGAUAAGGGGACCCCAAGUGCGAGGGCAUAUAGUCCUCGCUUUUCUCGACUGUAAGGCGGUCGAGGAAUAAGAGCUGGGCAAGACCGGUGCCAGCCGCCGCGGUAAUACCGGCAGCUCAAGUGAUGACCGAUAUUAUUGGGCCUAAAGCGUCCGUAGCCGGCCACGAAGGUUCAUCGGGAAAUCCGCCAGCUCAACUGGCGGGCGUCCGGUGAAAACCACGUGGCUUGGGACCGGAAGGCUCGAGGGGUACGUCCGGGGUAGGAGUGAAAUCCCGUAAUCCUGGACGGACCACCGAUGGCGAAAGCACCUCGAGAAGACGGAUCCGACGGUGAGGGACGAAAGCUAGGGUCUCGAACCGGAUUAGAUACCCGGGUAGUCCUAGCUGUAAACGAUGCUCGCUAGGUGUGACACAGGCUACGAGCCUGUGCUGUGCCGUAGGGAAGCCGAGAAGCGAGCCGCCUGGGAAGUACGUCCGCAAGGAUGAAACUUAAAGGAAUUGGCGGGGGAGCACUACAACCGGAGGAGCCUGCGGUUUAAUUGGACUCAACGCCGGACAUCUCACCAGCUCCGACUACAGUGAUGACGAUCAGGUUGAUGACCUUAUCACGACGCUGUAGAGAGGAGGUGCAUGGCCGCCGUCAGCUCGUACCGUGAGGCGUCCUGGUAA
rnacentral:rRNA from 1 species